GAGAGUGUAGCUCAGUGGUAGAGCACAUGCUUAGCAUGCAUGAGGUCCUGGGUUCGGUUCCCACGACCUCC
rnacentral:tRNA from 1 species